rnacentral:rRNA from 1 species
UACGGAGGGUGCAAGCGUUAUUCGGAUUUAUUGGGCGUAAAGAGCGUGUAGGCGGUUUGGUAAGUCUGACGUGAAAUCCCUGGACUCAAUCCAGGAAGUGCGUUGGAUACUGCCAGACUAGAGUACAGGAGAGGAGAGCGGAAUUCCUGGUGUAGAGGUGAAAUUCGUAGAUAUCAGGAGGAACAACAGUGGCGAAGGCGGCUCUCUGGACUGUAACUGACGCUGAGACGCGAAAGCGUGGGGAGCAAACAGG